CGCUGGCGGCGCGCCUAACACAUGCAAGUCGAACGGAGCUUAGAGAGCUUGCUUUUUAAGCUUAGUGGCGAACGGGUGAGUAACGCGUGAGUAACCUGCCCUAGAGUGGGGGACAACAGUUGGAAACGACUGCUAAUACCGCAUAAGCCCACGGUACCGCAUGGUGCUGAGGGAAAAGGAUUUAUUCGCUUUAGGAUGGACUCGCGUCCAAUUAGCUAGUUGGUGAGGUAACGGCCCACCAAGGCGACGAUUGGUAGCCGGACUGAGAGGUUGAACGGCCACAUUGGGACUGAGACACGGCCCAGACUCCUACGGGAGGCAGCAGUGGGGGAUAUUGCACAAUGGGGGAAACCCUGAUGCAGCGACGCCGCGUGGAGGAAGAAGGUUUUCGGAUUGUAAACUCCUGUCGUUAGGGACGAUAAUGACGGUACCUAACAAGAAAGCACCGGCUAACUACGUG
rnacentral:rRNA from 1 species